CAGGCCUAACACAUGCAAGUCGGACGGUAUCAGCGAUGAUAUAGUGGCGAACGGGUGAGUAACACGUUGGUGACCUGCCCCAAAGAUGGGAAUAUCACCUGGAAACGGGUGGCAAAACCGAAUAAGCUUACCUGAAUUAGAACAGGGUAAGUAAAAGAGUGAUCUACUUUGGGAGGGGCCUGCGGCCCAUCAGUUAGUUGGUGAGGGUAACGGCCCACCAAGACGAAGACGGGUAGGGGACCUGAGAGGGUGGUCCCCCACAAUGGAACUGAAACACGGUCCAUACACCUGCGGGUGGCAGCAGUAGGGAAUAUUGCUUAAUGGGCGAAAGCCUGAAGCAGCAACGCCGCGUGGACGAAGGAGGCCUUCGGGUCGUAAAGUCCUUUUAUGGGGGAAAAGGAAGGAUGGUACCCCAUGAAUAAGUCUCGGCUAACUACGUGCCAGCAGCCGCGGUAAAACGUAGGAGACGAGCGUUAUCCGGAUUUACUGGGCGUAAAGAGCGUGUAGGAGGCAAUACAAGUUGGAUGUAAAAUCUCCCGGCUUAACUGGGAGGCGUCGUUCAAGACUGUAUAGCUGGAGUGCUGUAGAGGUAAUCGGAACUCCGGGAGUAGCGGUGAAAUGCGUAGAUAUCCGGAAGAACACCAGAGGCGAAAGCGGAUUACUGGACAGUAACUGACACUGAGACGCGAAAGCCAGGGUAGCAAACGGGAUUAGAGACCCCGGUAGUCCUGGCCGUAAACGAUGUAGACUCGUCGUUUGGUGGGUAAAACCACUGAGUGACUAAGCAAACGCAAUAAGUCUACCGCCUGGGGAGUACGGUCGCAAGAUUAAAACUCAAAGGAAUUGACGGGGGCCCGCACAAGCAGCGGAGCGUGUGGUUUAAUUCGAUGCAACGCGAAGAACCUUACCUGGUCUGGACAUCCUACUGAAUAGUUAUGUAAUGUAAUUAGUCUUCGGACAGUAGAGGCAGGUGGUGCAUGGUUGUCGUCAGCUCGUGUCGUGAGAUGUUAGGUUAAGUCCUGCAACGAGCGCAACCCUUAUUGCCAGUAGCCAAUAUUAAGUUAGGCACUCUGGCGAGACUGCCGAGGUUAACUCGGAGGAAGGUGGGGAUGACGUCAAAUCAUCAUGCCCCUUAUGAUCAGGGCUACACACGUGCUACAAUGGCGGAGAACAAAGAGAAGCGAAAGGGUGACCUGGAGCAAAUCUCAAAAAAGCCGUCUCAGUUCGGAUUGUAGUCUGCAACUCGACUACAUGAAGCUGGAAUCGCUAGUAAUCGCAAAGAAGAGUGUUGCGGUGAAUACGUUCCCGG
rnacentral:rRNA from 1 species